AUGCCUUAAACUUAUGAGAAAGGAAAAUAACGAUUUGGGGUAACGCCCGAAUCCUCACUGCUAAUGUGAGACGAAUUUUUGAGUGGGUAAAGGUUGCCCCUAAGGUGAUCCACCUACUUUGCAGGAUGCCUGGGAGUCACAAUCUGCCCA
ensembl:snRNA U12 U12 minor spliceosomal RNA